GCUUGUCUCAAAGAUUAAGCCAUGCAUGUCUAAGUAUAAAUCUCUUACUUUGAAACUGCGAACGGCUCAUUAUAUCAGUUAUAGUUUAUUUGAUAGUCCCUUACUACUUGGAUAACCGUAGUAAUUCUAGAGCUAAUACAUGCGUCAACACCUUUGGGUGGUAUUUAUUAGAAAGAAACCAACCCCUUCGGGGUGAUGUGGUGAAUCAUAAUAACUCCUCGAAUCGCAUGGCCUUGCGCCGGCGAUGUUUCAUUCAAAUUUCUGCCCUAUCAAUUUGAUGGUAGGAUAGAGGCCUACCAUGGUGGUAACGGGUGACGGAGAAUUAGGGUUCGAUUCCGGAGAGGGAGCCUGAGAAACGGCUACCACAUCCAAGGAAGGCAGCAGG
rnacentral:rRNA from 1 species